GUUCCUUUCCAUUGUCUCCUAUAUGGUGAAUUCUAGUUACACCUGCAUUUUUGGUAGUUAGGUUAUCCCAAGCACCACAGGAAGAACCAGUAAACAGUUAUGAUGCAGCUUAACUGUAUCAGAAAAGCACCCAGCCAAUUUGGUUGCCAAUAAAUAUUCUUGCAGACAUUUUUGAGAUAAUGGUCUUUCUAAUGAGUGGCUUUGUUAAUUGUCUUACUUGAAAUGUUGUGAUGAUCCUAUGCCCUUUUAAAAUAUGGUUUUGGGUAGUGGGGGGUUAUUAGGGUUGUUGUUUUUAUUUUGAUGAUGUAUUUUGUGGUUUUAUAUUUUGAUUUUAUUCCAUUAAGUGCCCUGAGACGUCGGGGUAUAGGGUUGUAUAUAAAUUCAAUUAAUAAUAAUAAUCCCACUUCCCACCAUCCACAUGCCCCUUUUUGUCCAUUUACACUGGCAUGAUUUGCACCAGCUCUCUAUCAACUAGCAUAAUUAGAUAAAACUGGAGGUGGGGGGGGGGGAGGUAGCAGUGAGAGGAGAGAGACAGACACCCCAUCCCUUCCUGCAGCACUACAUAAGUAAAUCUGACUCUAUACAAUGGGCCUACUCUCAAGUGUAUUUACAUAGGAUUAUCACUGCGGCAGGAAUUAUAUCUUUAUAUUGCUUUUAAUUAUCACCUGCCCCAGGAAGGUGACCUUUGCGAAAUGAAAUUCGCAAGGCUGCGUUGCAAGAUCAGAAAUACCGAAUAUAAAAGUGGUAGGCAAGGGGUAAAGGGUGGCGACAGCCCACAGCACAGAAACGGCUCCCCGCUCCCCAUUGCCUUUUAAUUUCGUGGCGGGGGGGGCGGAGAGAGAGCGAGCAGGGGACCCUUAUCAGCCGCACUCAAUAGAAAUCAUACCCCACCACAUACCCGGCUAUUAAAACUCCCUCCUCUUGCCAAGCGGCGCGUGGGGGGCAGGCGCUGAGGGAAGGCCCCAACGGCUUUCCCCCCUCAACCGUCACUGCGUCCGCCUCGAGUUUUAAGCGUUGCCGCCUCCCGGGAGGGUCACGUGGCGUGACGGCCUGCGAUUGGUCCGUGCUUCCCAGCGCGGAGAGGGAGGUGGAGCGGCGGGUGGUUGCCUAGGCUACGAGAGGGAGCUGCGGGGCAGAAAGAGAGGCGGCGGGUGGGCUGGUUGGCUGGCGGAGGCGGAGGAGCCGCUGUGGGGCUGGAUGGGAGCCUCGCGCAGCGGCGGCGGCAGCAGCAGCCGGUGGCGGGCGGCUGGCGUAACUUUUAACGGUCACGGACACCCCGCCGCCUCUAAGCUUUUUCUUUUCUUUUCUGGUGGGUUUUGCUGCGUUCGCCGAGCCAAGUUCGCCGAGCCACGAUGACGGUGAGGCACCCGUCGCCCUGGAGCUGAGGGAGAGGGAUGAGCCCUUUUGCGUUCGCGAGGUGACCAGAAAGGCGUCGGCAGCAGCGGGGCUGAGGGAAAGGCGGAGGCGGGAGGGAGGCUUUUAUAGGAAGGGUUUGCCUUGGCUGGGAGGCUGAGGGAGCAGUCAGCGCCGAGAACGUGGCUAGCUGCUCGAUAUUGGGAUUUAUUUCCCAACUUUUGUAUGCCGCCUUUCUCCCGCUGCGCAACCCAAGGCGGAAUACACGCGGUGUCCAGUUCUUCCGCCCCCUAGAAGGUGGUGGGUGGUCGUCCUCAGACCAUGCUUUCUGAUUGUGUUAUGCCAGCCAGGGGAGGGAUGGUUUCAGUACCCAGGGUGGUUUCAGAUCUGUUAAGGUCACCUAGUGAAAGCCUUGUUUGUGGUGGCGCCCUGACUUGAGAAGUCCCCUUCCUAGGGAUGUUUCCUUAGUUAUACUUGACUCCCUCCUCUUAUUCUGAGCUUUUAAUUUCCGACAAUCUUUUUAUAUGGCUUUGCUAUUGUUCUGCUGCGUGGUUUUGUUUUUGGGGAUGUGUUAAUGUUUAACCCCAACCCCCCACAGCAAUCUGUAAUUGUAAGAUGCUCUGUGGGUUCUUAUGCCCCCACCUUUCAGUUUUAUGUUGGUACAAUCCUGUGUGUGUUUUCUUGGUAUUAAGUAUCAAUGUGCCCAGUGGGGCUUGCUUCCGGAUAAGGAUUUCAGUGUGUAGCUCUUAAAUAGUUGAAACCCUGGUGUGUCAAUGCAGUUUGCUGGUGCUGCCUGCUGAAUUCUCACUUAAAGUUGCUCUCUUUCCAGUCAAGAGACUUUGAGUGGAAUUGUCCUUUCUUCUUUGUUACUAUGCUAUGUGUCUCUUCUGCCCAUAACGAGCAAGCCUAAAGAGGAAAUUUAAAUUGUACUUACAGAAUUAUACCCACUCAAACAAAGGCUGUCAAUGCCCAGAUAAAAAGGCAGGUCUUAAAUACAGAAUAUUGGAGUAUGGGUAUAACUAUGCUAUCAAACAAGAUAGAUGCUUAAGAACAGAUAACCUCAGAACUUUAAUUUAAACCCAAAUGCCUGGAUGGAGCACCAGAAGUGGCAAAAUUACUUCAGGCAAGUUCAAAUAAAUGAAGGAUUAUUUGGCUUUCCAAAUGGGACAACGUUGCAACCAGAUAGCAGAUAGCCCUCAAAUAGUGCAAAUUAGCAAAAUUGUGUUGAGGGGUAACAACAACCAAUCCAGUUGGAGAUUUUGUAGCACAUAAAGCUUCCCAAACAGGUUGCUUCAAAUUGGGCAGUCUCUCCCAUGCCAGAUGUCCACAGGGAAUGGUGUUGGUGGAUGCAACCACCAACCUUUAACUUAGUGGAAUAGAGAGACCAGGAAUAUGCCUGUACAGAAGAAAUUGGACCAAAACUUCCAUAGGUAUGGUAUACCCAGAGCUAUGGCGAUGGCAACAACAAACCCAUGGUUUGAGCUUAACAAAGAUAACAGACAUGGGUGCCUUCUGUUCCUCUGCCUUAAAUUGAAGGGUUCAAAAUAGUUGACAAUUUAAAUAAGCUCAAAUAUACACAUAGAUGUUGCUGAUAUACAUGUGCAACCUCCCUUACUUUGAAUGUUGAAUUUGACAAAUUCAAAAGUAUCUCUAAUUAUAAAGUAGCCUUUAGUAAAUCAGCAGUAAUAAAUGUUACUACUUCAAAAGUAAGAAAGAAUUGUUUGAAUAUAAGAACAGAAGAAGAGCUUGCUGGAUCAGGCCAAUGCGCAAGGUUUAUACCUUAUUUCGUGGUAUGAUAAAUCAUGAUAACAGAUGGGAGUGUAUGCUAACUGGCAAUAACUUUACCAGUUGAACUAUGGCCCAUUAUACACUAUGUCAGAAAGGGAUUUGAAGCACUGGCCUUUGGGGAAAAAAAAUCUGCUGGCAUGGAUUGUACGUAAUAGUAAGUACACGUGUUGCUAAGGCUGCUGAGUUUUUUUCCUUGCCCUUAAGUUGUCAGGAAAAGCCUUAACAAAGUAGUAGUGCCUGGUUAGCUAUUUUGUCGUGUGUUGGUAAAAAAAAUAAAUCAGACUACAUAGAAGUAAGUUCUAAAGGUCUGUGGCUGUGUGGGAUCUUGAUGUUCCUUUUUUUGGCUCAAUAUGCUGCUUGGCAUUACCCUUAAUUGCAGAUUUAUUAGAAGUUGAUUCAACAAUCUGCAGUUGACUCUUUGCCUUUGGAUGUGUUGGUGUGGUUAGGGAGAAAAGACAGACCUCAUAUUUGCCAAGUCACCCAUUCAUUUACCUUUCAUUUCUGGAAUGGGUUCUCAUAUUUAACCUAAUUUAUUGGAAUUUAGAAAUAUGGGGGAGUAAUUCAUUAACUACCUAAAAAACUUUAUUUGUUCAAAAGACCUUUAUACUUUUUAGCAUAACAAAAAGAGGAGCAGAAGUAUUUUGCCAAUCUAUCAAUAUAACCCUUGAGAUCUACCAUUCCAAAGUGUAGGAAACGUAGUAGGAUAGACAUGUUCUUCCAGAUGUGCUGGGAGUAUUUAAAAAAAAUGGGAUUUGGUAUUGGCAAAAUGGGAAAAUUUUGAAGUGUGUUGUUUAUAAGGAGUGUAGAUUCAUGCAAUUCUAUGUUAUUGACACUGGCCAUCUUCUGCACUUGCAUUGUUGUUGUUGUUUAGUCGUCUUAUGGUAUUCUUUUUUUCCCUGGUGCCUAAAAUAGUAUGGAUAAGUGGAGGUUUUAAUCUUUUCUCAAACGUAAGAAUUGCAUGGGGAAAGUGUGAGACGUAAUAGUUUAUCAAAAGCUUAUGUGUCAAGGAGGCCAGGACUCAAUAGUCAAGUAUCUUUAUUAUACAUUGUUCCUCUUCUCUUUGCAUGUGAAAUCUAAAGAAAAUACAUUGGUGAUAUGAAUGUAGGAGCCUUUAUUGAUGUCAAGUUUGUGCAACUAGGUUUAUAAGUUGAGGAGGCUGGGGGAAGCAGAUAGAAGGUGCUGAGUGGGAUAGAUUAAUGCUUUAUUGAUUUAUUACACGUUGUAUUUUGCUAAUUGCAGAAGCUAAUCUCCAUGACAUCUGUUUAUAUUUUCUUGUAGCUACAUAAAUAUGUAUUAUGUUAUCCACCUGAGCUGUUUGUGUUGUGUUGUCUGGCUUAUUAGCUCCAUAGUGUUUUCCUUGUGUUAACUGUAUGUAAUUGACAUAAAUACAAAAUAUAUUUGCUGUAAAGUAAGAUCAGGAAAUGCAUACAGUGAAAUUAUACCAAAGUACCACACAUGAAUACCUGAAAUUAGAUGAUAGCAGAAACAUUUUAGAGUGACAGUACAGUAAUUUCAACCAUUUCAAUUUAUGAUUUCAGUGUAGCUAAGCCUAUCCAGAACACUAAUCAAGAAACAGUACAGCCAUAACAAACUUCCAAUACAUUUGAAGUUGCUCAUAUUUACUAUUUCCUCAACGGUGAAACCUAUUCCCUGUUAUUUAGCCCAGUGUUUUCAAAACUAGGGGGACUUUAAAAAAAUUAUUUUGUGAUAUGGUGUUAGGGUCUAAAUAAUAAUUAAAAAAGUGCAAUCCCACUGGGGAUGCCAAAGACUUUGGGCAUCCCUAAAAUAGCUCUUUCCUGUGGUCUAAACCACUGAGCCUAGGGCUUGCCAAUCGGAAGGUCAGCGGUUCGAUUCCCCAUGACGAGGUGAGUUCCCAUUGCUCGGUCCCAGCUCCUGCCAACCUAGCAGUUCAAAAGCACGUCAAAGGUCAUGUAGAUAAAUAUGUACCACUCUGGUGGGAAGGUAAAGGGCGUUUCUGUGCGCUGCUCUGGUUUCGCCAGAAGCGGCUUAGUCGUGCUGGCCACAUGACCUGGAAAAACUGUCUGUGGACAAACGUCAGCUCCCUUGGCCACUAAAGUGAGAUGAGUGCCGCAACCCCAGAGUCAUUCACAACUGAACUUAACUGUCAGGGGUCCUUUACCUUUACCUUUUUAUCCUAGCUAUUGUGCACUGCUUAAACUUGGGGUGGGGUGGGGUUCUUGCAUCCCCACCAGUUCAUUUAGAAUUCCUGGGUAGCCUGAGGACAAUGCUAAGUGGAAAAACAACAAGUAUUAAACAGACUCUUCUCUUCUCCCAAAUCUGAUUCUCCAAAUAAGAUUUCAGACUCCUACAGAUGCUUUUGAUUUUAAGAAAUUAGGGUUGGCAUACACACAACUUAUAUGAAAGCUAUAUUUUAAACUUAGUUUCUGCUUUUGAAACUACUUACCCCUGAAUGUUCUUAUCUAUCUGUCACACCAACUCAGUGAGGUAGGUAAGGCUGAGAGACUGUGACUGGCCCAAGUUAGUUUCACGGCUUAGGGGUUUGAGCCCUAAUUUCCUCUGUCCUAUUCUAAUAGUCUAACCACUGCACCACUUACAAAUAGAAGUGCAGUAAUAGUAAAGCAACAAAGAAUAGUUAGCUUGAAUAGUUAGUGGUAUUAUUUUUACUUACUUAUUGCAUUUAUACCCCACCUUUUAUCCAAGGAGCUCAAGGUAGCGCACAUAGUUCUGCCCCUUCUUUAAUCCCAUCAAACCAGGUGAGGGUAGCUGAUGGAUCUCAAACCCUUCAUGAGUUAGGGGCUUCUCCUGUUUAUGAAGACAGUCUCUGGCAGAUUGAGCAGACAAGACCAACAGUGGAUCCAAUGGUCAAUAAGGUGGUUUCUGGACUUUCUGUAGAGGGAAGUGAGGGGCAGAUGGGGUUUGUCACCCUGGGAAGGUAGCCCAUCUAGGAGAAGGAAAACACUGAUCCUAAACCUCCGUGGCCUUGCGGGAUAACUUCAGAAGAACAAAAGGCUAAGAACUACCAUAAACCCUACACAAAUCUGGAGUGGAGUCUCUAAGAUGUUUGGAUGGUACCGCCUUCCAGCAACUCCUGCAGCCAAGCUGGUGCCAAAUGUGUUGCUCUGCUUUCCUUUGGACCACAUCAGCAAGGCCGGGGAGGAGGUGUCUUGUCGCCAAUCCAGGACCUCCAUACACACUGCCCAGGCUUGUGCUCUGGGAAGGUCACUUCAGUGCUGCUAACACAGCAGUUUGACUUCAUCCCUGGAGGCACACUCCAUUGUCUAUUGAGAUAGAUGGAUGCCAACAACCCUGUGAAGUAGGUUAGCCUGACAGGCAGUGACUGUUCCAAGGUCACUUAGUGAGCUUCAUGGUUGAGUGGGGUUUUGAAUCCUGGUCUCCCUGGUCUUAGGCCAAUACUCUAACCACAACACCAUACUGACAUAGCAUGUGGUACUUCAGCUUUGUGGGGAGACGAAUAGAGGCAGGGGGAUUGAACAUGUCAACUUAAUACUACGACCCUCCACACUGUUCUCUCUCUCUCUCUCUUUGUCUUCCCUACCCACUUACCCAAAAGAAACCUAGUUUGUAAGGGAGCAAACUAUACGUGACAUACCUGGGACAAAGUUUCAUUGAACUAGUGGGGCUUGUGAGUAUAUUGCCUAGGACUGCACUGUUAGUCCCUCGAGGAAGAGAUCUGUCUUUGCUUCCACUUUGAAAAGUACUAUAAUAAAUAAUAAAUAAUAAAUUUUAUUUAUAUCCCGCCCUUCCCAGCCGAAGCUGGGCUCAGGGCGGCUAACAACAAUAAAAUAAAAUAAAGCAAUAUGCACAUUGACAGCGCUAUGAAAAUAAUUAUAAAAACCUUACAACCUAUUUGUUUGCCUAUUCAUUUUCUGCAUGCACUGCAAACAGAAUAUAGCAUAAGAAGUCUGAGGUUUUUGAAUAUUUCAAGCUUUAUAAGAUAUUUUAUCUCUAACUUAAGCUGAUCAUUUUUAUUUGUCAUGUUAUUAUUAUUUAUUGAAUUUAUAUACCACCCUAUACCCGGCAGUCUCAGGGCAGUUCACAUACUGUGUUCAUACUGUUAGUGAUAUGGGCUGUACAAGGUUUUUAAAAUGCUUAGUGACCAUUUUUUCUAAAGCAAUGUAAUGGAAUAACAGUUUUUAGUUAUUCUAAACCAUAC